rnacentral:misc_RNA from 1 species
UUGAAUCCAAAGGAUGUUGCUGGUGCUUGUAAAAGUACAUGUGCACUCCACCUUUCAAAUCCACCUGUGCACUCAAUGUAGGCUCAGAUUAACUUCCGAGUCUAUGCUUUUUUACACACUAUAAUUAUUAUGGAAUGUCUGGGUUUUUGUUGCCCAAAAUAAUAAUAAUAAUA